CCUACGGGAGGCAGCAGUGAGGAAUAUUGGUCAAUGGACGAGAGUCUGAACCAGCCAAGUAGCGUGAAGGAUGACUGCCCUAUGGGUUGUAAACUUCUUUUAUAAAGGAAUAAAACGAGGCACGUGUGCCUUUUUGCAUGUACUUUAUGAAUAAGGAUCGGCUAACUCCGUGCCAGCAGCCGCGGUAAUACGGAGGAUCCGAGCGUUAUCCGGAUUUAUUGGGUUUAAAGGGAGCGUAGAUGGGUUGUUAAGUCAGUUGUGAAAGGUUGCGGCUCAACCGUAAAAUUGCAAUUGAUACUGGCAGUCUUGAGUACAGGUGAGGUAGGCGGAAUGCGUGGUGUAGCGGUGAAAUGCUUAGAUAUCACGAAGAACCCCGAUUGCGAAGGCAGCUUACUAAACUGUGACUGACAUUGAUGCUCGAAAGUGUGGGUAUCAAACAGGAUUAGAUACCCCAGUAGUC
rnacentral:rRNA from 1 species